CUUAACACAUUGGUGUCAUGAGAAAAGGGACUACUUUAGAUUAAAAGAGACUUAAGAUACAUAAUCAGAAUCAAUUCUUGUUUCUAGAUUGGACCCUGGUUUAGACAGACAAGGGGCAAAGGAUCUUUUUGAAGAGACAACUGGGAAGAUUUGAAUUCAGACUGAGUAUUAGAUGAGAUGAAAAUGUAUUAUCUUGGAAGACUUUCUAUGGGCAAGAUGUUUUACAAGUUCUUAGUGCUGGCGUAUAUCUGAAUUUUUGGAUGUAUUCCUCCUGAGACUAAUAUGCCUGCUGUAUUCAAAACACCUUCAGCAUCAGUGUUGGGAAGACCAACCAAAAUCUUAAUAACAAAGGACAGAGGUAAAGGAAAUCUUCCCUUUCCUUGACAUAGGCUGCACUUUAUGGAUUUCUCCUUGUCUCUGGCAUCUAUGGUAGUUGUAAACGCACCAGAAGGAAUAUUUCACCUUCCUUUUUACUG